GAUGAACGCUGGCGGCGUGCCUAAUACAUGCAAGUCGAGCGAACAGACGAGGAGCUUGCUCCUCUGACGUUAGCGGCGGACGGGUGAGUAACACGUGGAUAACCUACCUAUAAGACUGGGAUAACUUCGGGAAACCGGAGCAAACACCGGAUAAUAUAUUGAACCGCAUGGUUCAAUAGUGAAAGACGGUUUUGCUGUCACUUAUAGAUGGAUCCGCGCCGCAUUAGCUAGUUGGUAAGGUAACGGCUUACCAAGGCAACGAUGCGUAGCCGACCUGAGAGGGUGAUCGGCCACACUGGAACUGAGACACGGUCCAGACUCCUACGGGAGGCAGCAGUAGGGAAUCUUCCGCAAUGGGCGAAAGCCUGACGGAGCAACGCCGCGUGAGUGAUGAAGGUCUUCGGAUCGUAAAACUCUGUUAUUAGGGAAGAACAAAUGUGUAAGUAACUAUGCACGUCUUGACGGUACCUAGUCAGAAAGCCACGGCUAACUACGUG
rnacentral:rRNA from 1 species